GACGAACGCUGGCGGCGUGCCUAAUACAUGCAAGUCGAGCGGACUGAUGGGGAGCUUGCUCCCCUGACGUCAGCGGCGGACGGGUGAGUAACACGUGGGCAACCUGCCUCACAGAUUGGGAUAACUCCGGGAAACCGGGGCUAAUACCGAAUAAUCAAAGGAACCGCAUGGUUCCCUUGUAAAAGUUGGGUUUUACCUAACACUGUGAGAUGGGCCCGCGGCGCAUUAGCUAGUUGGUGAGGUAGUGGCUCACCAAGGCGACGAUGCGUAGCCGACCUGAGAGGGUGAUCGGCCACACUGGGACUGAGACACGGCCCAGACUCCUACGGGAGGCAGCAGUAGGGAAUCAUCCGCAAUGGACGAAAGUCUGACGGUGCAACGCCGCGUGAGUGAUGACGGUCUUCGGAUUGUAAAGCUCUGUUGUUAGGGAAGAACAAGUGCCGUUCAAAUAGGGCGGCACCUUGACGGUACCUAACCAGAAAGCCCCGGCUAACUACGUGCCAGCAGCCGCGGUAAUACGUAGGGGGCAAGCGUUGUCCGGAAUUAUUGGGCGUAAAGCGNGNGCAGGCGGUUCCUUAAGUCUGAUGUGAAAGCCCACGGCUCAACCGUGGAGGGUCAUUGGAAACUGGGGAACUUGAGUGUAGGAGAGGAAAGUGGAAUUCCAAGUGUAGCGGUGAAAUGCGUAGAUAUUUGGAGGAACACCAGUGGCGAAGGCGAC
rnacentral:rRNA from 1 species